ensembl:lncRNA
GUGACUGACUGUGCGGAGACUGCAGGCAGCGGGGGAGAAAGACUCUCACCGUCUUCCUGUCCCGCGUGCCAGUACGUCAGAAGGACCCCCGCUGGUAAAUGUUGCUGUACCGCUGACUGCCCGUGAGCCCCCCGAGGAUAUGCUGUGUGGAGUGGAUGGAAUAGGCUGGCUUCUGGACACACAAGUCCAACUAGUGGGAUUAACUGUUUUUUUGGUCUGGAAAGACCUAAUGGGUCCACCCCUAAUGGCACUCAACAUAGCAUGGGGUGACAGAUCUGUACUGUGACUGCUGACCCCUGGCUAGGCCACCAGAAUGUUUCUUUUAUUUACUUGUUUAUUUUCUUGGCUGUGCCAUGCAGCAGAAUGUUUCUUUUGAAGCCAGGCCUUCCCCUCCCCAUGGAGGUGGCUCUGGGUUUGGGAAAACCAGGGGUGGCCUUACCUUCCUUAUAACUGGACAGGAUACUGCUGCCAUUGACUCCCUUUCCAUUGACCCAGUAAGCGCUUGGCUCCAAAAUUUGCCCACAUCCUGGCAAAUGACUGUUCUGAGCAUACUAGGUAUCUUACCCUUGAUACUCCUUGGCUGCUGCUGUCUGUAUUGUAUUGUGGUAUCUGGUUGCAGUGUCCCCUACAUACCUGACCCCAGGGAUGUCGCGGAACGGGAGUGGACCAAGAUCAUAAGGGCCGUGCAGGGUACGUAGGGGUGGAGCGUGUGGCCAGGCCACUCAGGAUGGCUGUUCUCUUGCUCUCGUCCUUCCCCUGCUCGACCAGGGCCUGCUUCACCUACACCUACUCACAUGACUGACCUUCCUACUACUAGCCCCAGGCCCCAGCUGGUGAUUAUUCUUAUCAAAGGGGUGGUGAGGGGCUUGCCCCUCUGCUGGUUUCCCUGGUAACUAAUGAGCCCACCUGAAGUCAGUUCCCCUCUAACUGGUAAUCUCCCCUUCCUCCUGGGAGUGAAGGCUGCCGAACACCACCGUGGGGUGUUGCUCCAGGACCUUGCUUCCCUCCCCCUUCCAUUAAACCAUUGAUGUCAAGAAAGAAAGAAAGAGAGAGGGAGGGAGGGGGAGAGAGAGAGAGGGAGGGAGAGAGAGAAAGAAAAAGAAAGGAAGGAAAGAAGGAGAAAGAAAGGAAAGAACGAAAGGGAAAGAGAAAGAAAAUCUGGUUCACUGUCCUGUUUUCCCACUUUGCCCAAUGCCCCAAUGUUUUGCUCACAGCUGCUCAAAUAAUGCCUCCCAAAGGACAUUAGUAAUUUUUCACAACUGUCUUUACCCUGUUGAUUGAGAAGCUUGUGGGUGAUGAUGUAUGUUUUUCUUUUUUUGCAGGUACACACAUUCUUUCCCAGAUUGUUGUCAUCAUUCAGCCUAACUUUGCUCCAAUUUAUAGGUUUUCUCCAACUUUGUUUCUCUUAGUAACAGUUACUAAAAACUUCUUUAAUCUCCCUUAGAAGUUAUUUGUCUUGCUACUAAUUGUAAGCUCAUCAGACCAAGCUUCAGGCCAGGACUGUACUGAGGCUGAGAAGACUUGAACACGGAAGGGCUGGGGUAGCAUCCCAUGCAACGGGCCAGCUGUGCCCAGUGCAUCACCCACCUGGCGCCUGGACCUCUCUCAUCUCCUUCUGAGCCCUUCUUGGUCCCUCAUUCUAUUCCUCAACCUUGCUUUCUGUGAUCUGGCAUCUCUUUGGUUACUAACUCACUUGGUUUGACGUUUUUGUUAAUAGUUUUACCUCUAGGACAGUGGUUCUCAACUGGGAUGACUUGGCACCCAAGAAACAUUUGGCCACGCUUGAGGCAUUUUUGUUGUCACUAGUGGAGGGGGGUGAGGGCUACCGGCAUCUAGUGUGGAGUGGCCGGGCGGCAGGUGAAUAGCCUACAAUACGCAGGACAGCCCUCACAGCGGGAGAGUUAUCUGGUCCAAAGUGUCAGCAGCGCUGAGGUUGAGGUUGAACCCCCUGCUCUCUAGGUUCUGGCCUUUGAGCCCAGUCUCCAGUCUGUGAGUGGCCUCAGGCCUUCCUGUCAGCACCCCCAGUCACCACUGUCCUUUCCGGGUGACAGGCUCCGCAGGACUGACAGAGCUCCCGAGGGUGAGGACGAUGGAUCGUCCCACGCCCGAGCUCGUAGCAGGCUUAGCGCCCAGAGGGCAGUCCAGGCAGGGUUGUUUGGUGAGCAGCAGUAGAACAUGGAUUUUAAAGCACUGAUUGAAAUCCAUUCUCAGCUGCCCUCCGGCUCAGUUCAUAGCGGCAGCUGCUACUGAAAGCAAGAUUAUGAAAUCCCCGAAGCCUGGACCAGAGGUGGAGAGGCUCUUGUUCUGGGCGGGCUGGGCAGAUUUGGCAGCUUUUCCCAUCAGGAAAUACAGAAGAGGGACUGAGGAGAAAUAAGAGCUGCCUUGGGCUUUAACGGAGUGUUGGGCUUGACCCUUCCCAGUUUUGCUCCCCCCUCACGCCCUUGGAGAAAGGGGGUCAGAGGGUGUAUGCAGCUUGUUCAUUGAGGGUGAACUUGGACACCAGAGCCCACUUUUCUUUCUUGGCCACGCCGCUUGGCAUGUGGGAUCUUAGUUCCCCGACCAGCGAUUGAACCAUGCCCCCUGCAGUGGAAGCCUGGAGUCCUAACCACUGGACCACCAGGGAAGUCCGCAGAGCCCACUCUUCGUCACCACGUUUCUGAAGGUGUGGGCACCAGCUGGUCUUAAAGGGAGCGUGGUGAGGAAGCAUGAACCAGACUGCCCUGGGCGCUGCAUGACUGGUCAAAGGAGCAUUCACCCGGAACAGGGGCCGGGGGCCAAACAGAGGCAUGGUCCAGCCCGGGCAGGGGCAGGGGGUCUGUGGCAGAGAGCCAGUCGGGGUGAGGCUGAAACAGACAUGUCUCCUUUACAAAAACUCGCCACAUGUGGGGACCGUUAAAAUGGAGUUGAGUCAGGCCAAGAGAGAUCGCACUUCUUCUCCCUCGGCCCCUUGUGGCUGGAGCUGGCGUCGCUAGGACCUGGGGCCAGAUGACACCUAGGUGGGAGCCCGCUGAGAAGGGCCAUCCCUCCGGAGUGCAGACUCCCCUUCCUCCCCCUGCAGGUGUGUGCAGCCAGCCUCUGAAGGAGAGGGGAGGGCCAGCGGGAGUCCCAGGUGGGAAGGAGACCCUGUGAGUGCCAUGGUAAACUCCGCAGUGGCUGACAUUUUGAUAACCAGAUUGGAUUACAGAAACUACUGACCUGCUGUAUUCGUUUGCUUGGGUUGCCAUAGCAAAACACCACAGACCGGGUGGCUUAAACAACAGAGAUUUAUUUCCUCACAAUUCUGGAGGCUGGGAGUCUGAGAUCAAGGUGUUGGCAGAGUUGGUUUCUUCUCAGGUCUCUCGCCUUGGCUUGUAGAUGGCCUCCUGCUUGCUGUGUCUUCACGUGGCCUGUGUGUGUCUGUGUCCUUAUCCCCUUUUUAUAAGGACACCAGUCACACUAGUUUAGGGCUCACCCCAGUGCUCUCAUUUUACCUUAACUACCUUUUUAAAGGCUCUGUCUCCAUAAGUUUGUUUUCUAAGCCUGUGAGUCUGUUUUGUAAGUUCAUUUGUAUCAUUGUUUUAAGAUUCCACAUAUAAGUGAUAUCAUAUGAUACUUGUCUUUCUCUGUCUGACUUACUUCACUUAGUAUGGUGGGGCAGGGAGGGAUAGACUGGGAGUUUGGGGUUGACAUAAACACACUACUAUAUAUAAAAUAGAUAACGGACAAGGACCUACUGUGUAGCACAGGGAACUCUACUUGAUAUUCUGUAAUAACCUAUAUGGGAAAAGAAUCUGAAAAAGAAUGGAUAAAUGUAUAUGUAUAACUGAAUCACUUUGCUGUACACCUGAAAGUAACACAACAUUGUACAUCAACUAUACUCCAAUAU